rnacentral:rRNA from 1 species
GAGACAGGUGCUGCAUGGCUGUCGUCAGCUCGUGUUGUGAAAUGUUGGGUUAAGUCCCGCAACGAGCGCAACCCUUAUCCUUUGUUGCCAGCGAUUAGGUCGGGAACUCAAAGGAGACUGCCAGUGAUAAACUGGAGGAAGGUGGGGAUGACGUCAAGUCAUCAUGGCCCUUACGACCAGGGCUACACACGUGCUACAAUGGCGCAUACAAAGAGAAGCGACCUCGCGAGAGCAAGCGGACCUCAUAAAGUGCGUCGUAGUCCGGAUUGGAGUCUGCAACUCGACUCCAUGAAGUCGGAAUCGCUAGUAAUCGUGGAUCAGAAUGCCACGGUGAAUACGUUCCCGGGCCUUGUACACACCGCCCGUCACACCAUGGGAGUGGGUUGCAAAAGAAGUAGGUAGCUUAACCUUCGGGAGGGCGCUUACCACUUUGUGAUUCAUGACUGGGGUGAAGUCGUAACAAGGUAACCGUAGGGGAACCUG